rnacentral:rRNA from 1 species
GCAGGCUGCAACUCGCCUGCAUGAAGUCGGAAUUGCUAGUAAUCGCGGAUCAGCAUGCCGCGGUGAAUACGUUCCCGGGCCUUGUACACACCGCCCGUCACACCAUGAGAGCCGGUAACACCCGAAGUCAGAAGCCUAACCGCAAGGAGGGCGCUGCCGAAGGUGGGAUUGGUAAUUGGGGUGAAGUCGUAACAAGGUAUC